AGACAAUAGAUACCCAGGUAGUCCACGCCGUAAACUAUGCUUGCUAGCUGUUAUCAGUAUCGACCCUGGUAGUAGCGAAGCUAACGCGUUAAGCAAGCCGCCUGUGGAGUACGAGCGCAAGCUUAAAACAUAAAGGAAUUGACGGGGACCCGCACAAGCGGUGGAGCGUGUUGUUUAAUUCGACGGUAAACGAAGAACCUUACCCAGGCUUGACAUCCUACUAAGUUUUGCGAAAGCAAAAUGUGCCUUCGGGCCGUAGUGACAGGUGAUGCAUGGCCGUCGUCAGCUCGUGUCGUGAGAUGUUUGGUUAAGUCCAUCAACGAGCGCAACCCUUAUAGUCUGUUGAAUUUUCAGGCUAGACUGCCCCGGUAACGGGGAGGAAGGAGGGGACGAUGUCAGGUCAUUAUUCCCUUACGUCUGGGGCUACAAACACGCUACAAUGGCCGGUACAAAGGGCAGCCAAGGCGCGAGCCGGAGCAAAUCCCAUCAAAGCCGGUCUCAGUUCGGAUUGUAGGCUGAAACUCGCCUGCAUGAAGCUGGAA
rnacentral:rRNA from 1 species